AUUAUUUCACGUGACUUUGCUAUGGUUUUAUUCCAUAACACUGGUAAGGAGAGGCAUUUCUUGUGGUUUCAUGGUUUCUUUUCUUUAUAUCUUUCUUCCUUCCUCUCUCUCUCUUUCUCUCUCUCUUUCUUUUUCUUUUUAGAUUUUGUAACCCUAAAUCAACUUUCCAUUUAUUUUCCUAUCUUGGAGGUAAAGUUGACCAAAAGAUGGGCAUCCUCACCUGGUGGAAUGUGCUCACAACAUUAGGUUUGCAAAUUACACUGUCCAAGGUCCUUAUUCCUCACUGGGGAAUUGGACCUAGUGUGAUACACACAUUACCACCCAGUCUCUAGCAACUGGUCACCAAUCUGGUAGGGUAAUGGGCCUUGAUAGGUAGGGUUUUGUUCAUGAAAAUUCAUUCAAAGUUUUGGUAGUUGGAACACUUGAUAUUUAAACAGGACUUAGGAAUUCUGAGCAGAAUAUUAGAGACUGCAUCUUUUUUUGCAACGAGAUGAGGAAAUCCUUUUUCUCAGGAGGGAUGGCAAAGGCAUAUGCUGUUUCCAGAGUCCUGUAGUACAAACAUUUGUUUUCAUUGUAAUGUGUCAAACUUAGGGAAAAGGGACUAGCAUAUUAGGAAAUGGGACUAGUUCAUAUUAGCAAGCAUGGUGCUUUGGUUUUAUUUUUAAUUUUGUUAAACCGCAUGUAGAUAAUGACUUUGUGAAGGGCUUUGUUGUGUGCAAAAAUUAAGAUAUUGGCCGACAGUUAAAUGCAUCAUGUUUGUGAUUUGUUGGGUAUAGUAUAGUACUAAUGAUUUUUAAGUGCUUUUAUAAAAAUUUCAUUUUAAAACAUUUUGUUUCUUAAAGUCAGUAUACAUUAUAGAACUAAUGUAAGUACAAAGAACAGUAUUUAUAUUUAUUUAUGUAAGACAUUAUUGUGCCAGGACAUACCAGCAAAACACCUUCAUGAAUAAGUGAGACAGAUAAUAUCUCCCAAGAAUGACAUAAUACAGUUAUUUCUAAAAUGUUUACUUUUAGUGAUCCUCACCUCCCCAGUUCCUUGUCUCCCUUUCCCUCAUCUUGACAUUGAUAACCUCAGGAUCCAUCAACUGUCCCCUUCCUCAGCCCCUCUUUGUCUCUACCUUGUUCCCUAUCACCCUAGCCUGUUGAUUAAUGUUCUCCUUUUAUUUCUGUUUCUCUUUCUUCACCAGUAUACUCUUCCCCAGCACUUAAUCCCCGAAUUGUCUCAUAGACCUACAUCUUCACGAUUGGUUGCUGAAAUCUUAGGGCAGAACGGAGACGCUAGUAAAGUUCCGAUGGAGAGUCGUCCUGGCAGAGUCCUAGCUGAAAAUGACUUUUCAAAGACUCCUCAAAAAGUAAAGGAAAAUCACCUUCAAAACCACAAAGUAACUGUCAAGUAUAACCCAAGUCCUCUGUCUUUACAGAGCGUUUCUUCUGACCCAUCCUUCAAAGAAUGAAAAUGCAGAAAAUACAAGAGUUGGCUGUGCUCUGCCUGCUGGAGAGAACUUGCUUUCUCUAUGAGUUUUCAUAUUGUAUCCCUAUUUCAGUUGAGAGUAUCAGAGCCUACAAGAUGGGUCAUGUUUGUCUUUGUUAUUCAAUUGUCCCCUUUCCCCAAUUUUAGAGUUUUUCUUUGAUUCUAAAUAUUGAAUUGUUUAUGGCUGUAUAAUGAAGUAACAAGCGUCUUGGUCUGUGUGUUUUAAGUAGUAAUUGUGCAAAUUCUUCCUGUUUUCUGGGUGCUUCCUUUGAAUAUUGUGCAAAUUGAGUCAGAGGCAGUGGGAGGGGCAGUGACUAAGAAAAGACUAGGGAAGAAGGAAGCCCAGGGGAAGGGUAGCCAAGGGAGGAUGCCAAGCAGGCAUCUGCCCUGUCUCAGAUGUUUAAUUCAGAAGUUGGAUUUUACUCGGGCUUGGAAGGUGACAGCUGUCUCUCCUAGCUUAAACAUAAGUAAAGAAAGCUGGAGUGCCACCCCCUGUUCCUCAGAAAAGGAAAUAUCCAGCUUGCCUCUCCUUGAUAACAGCUUGAAAAUGGCCUUCUGGAGACAAGCUCUGGCAGGUUUAAAACAGGAACUGUUUGGAAUCUAGUUGCAACUACUUCUCCUGGCUGUGUGGUGGCUGCUUGUGGACAGAAGCAGUGAUUUUUCAGUUUAGAUCUUGGUUGAAUUUAAGGCUUAUUUAAUUAUUUUCAGCAUAUGCCUACAAAAGUCUGCCUUGUAACUGUUGUGUAAAAUAAACCUAUGGUUUCAUUUUUAUCCUAAAAACAAGUUGUGCCUUAACAACAGGGCAUUGUAUGUUAAUAAGGGAAAACAAAAUUCUUUUUAAUAGAUGGGGAAAACAGGAACUUUUGCCAUUAAAAUUCAAGUUCUUUUUAUGUUUUUAAUGUUAGAGUUGGGGAAAAUUCAUUAAAGUUAAAUAAAAUUAAUAUAAAAUUAUUUUUGCAUAUACAACUAAAGUGCAUUUUUAUAAGAACUGGCAUCUUGAUGUAUAUAGGUCUGAAAUGAUACUUCAUCCUUUGAUUUUUAAUUUGAAUUAAUAAGACCAUGAUAGAUAUUUUUUUUUAAUUUUACCCUUAAACUAUUUCAGUGUGCUAUUAUAUCUGUUCUAGUACUCUGAGUCACUUUGGUUCUAACAACUAUUUAUGGUAUCAUGUCAAGAAUUUCUUAAUGUUAAAAAAUACUGUAUGUCUGUGACAUAAACCAGAAUGGUUCGUAGAUCGGGGAGGGUUCGGAUUAGCAUUUAGUAAGAGGGCAAGAAGAACUGAACUUUGUACUUCAAAAGGAGGUUUUGGUUUUAUGAGGUGCUGGUCAUAAUAAGUUGUUUAUUUUUAUUUCGUCAAAGCCUGGCAGGUGUUUGCAUUCCAAUUUACCAUUGAUAAAGGCUUACAGGGAAGCUUCUUUUUUAAAAAUUAUUUUUUAAAAUGAGUGAUGAAUUAAUUCUGUGGGAAAAUGAGAUUUAUAAAUAUUAGUUUUCCUUUAAGAUAAAAUAAUAUAACCCAAACUUUCAGAAGUUAAGGAUGAUGAAUAAUAUUACAACUUGUUGUGUAUUGUGUUUGUAAGGGUUCCCUAAAGUAUUAAAAUUCAGGUAAUUUGUGUAAAUUGCAAAAGCAGAAACUGUGAUGUUUGAUUAGUAGUAUGUUGCAUUAGAAUUCUUUUUGAGAUGUAUGUUAUACAUAUAGUAAACUAUUAUUCAGACUUGUUCAUCCUGUAUUUUUUUAAAAUAGGAGAUACAGCACCCCAAGUCAUCUUUAGAUCAGUCUACAAAGAGUUCAUCUGUCUCCCCAAAUUAUCUCUUCUAAGCCCUCUUCGUCAUCUAUGUUCAAUACUACCCCAUGGCCAAAUAGCUCUAGAAAAUGUGGUUGCCUCCGAUGACAUGAUCAUCCCAAACCCUGCCCCUGGAUAUACUUUGCCAAACUGAACUUUGAGUUUCCUGAAUAAAUUGGUCGUGUCUGAAA